CACGUAGGGGGCAAGCGUUGUCCGGAUUCAUUGGGCGUAAAGAGCUCGUAGGCGGUUCGAUAAGUCGGGUGUGAAACCUCCAGGCUCAACCUGGAGACGCCACCCGAUACUGUCGUGACUAGAGUCCAGUAGGGGAGCGUGGAAUUCCUGGUGUAGCGGUGAAAUGCGCAGAUAUCUGGAGGAACACCGGUGGCGAAGGCGGCAUCCUGGACCAACACUGACGCUGAGGAGCGAAAGCCAGGGGAGCAAACGGG
rnacentral:rRNA from 1 species